AAUAAGCCACAUAAACUACAAUUUCUCUGUUCAUGCCAUUCAAAUGGGUGAAAAGGUCACAUCCAUCUUUGAGCGUGCCAUUGAUAUCUUUGGCCGCAAGGAUGAUAUGUCUGAUAACAGGGAUGAUGGAACUGUUCUGUGGCAAGUUGAUGUGGAUAUGAUGGAUGUUCUCUACACCAGUCUCGUGGAGUAUUUACAACUGGA
rnacentral:misc_RNA from 1 species